GGGCCCGCACAAGCAGCGGAGCAUGUGGUUUAAUUCGAUGCAACGCGAAGAACCUUACCAGGUCUUGACAUCCAGUAAAAGCCAAAGAGAUUUGGUGUGUUUUCGGACAUACUGAGACAGGUGGUGCAUGGUUGUCGUCAGCUCGUGUCGUGAGAUGUUGGGUUAAGUCCCGCAACGAGCGCAACCCUUGUUUUUAGUUACUAACGCGUAGAGGCGAGGACUCUAGAGAGACUGCCGGGGACAACUCGGAGGAAGGUGGGGACGACGUCAAAUCAUCAUGCCCUUUAUGACCUGGGCUACACACGUGCUACAAUGGCCACUACAGAGAGGAGCGAAGCCGAGAGGUGGAGCGGAUCUCAAAAAGUGGUCCCAGUUCGGAUUGUGGGCUGCAACCCGCCCACAUGAAGUCGGAGUUGCUAGUAAUCGCGAAUCAAGCAUGUCG
rnacentral:rRNA from 1 species